rnacentral:rRNA from 1 species
AGGAUUAACGCUGGCGGCGUGCCUAACACAUGCAAGUCGAACGAGGUAGCAAUACCUAGUGGCAGACGGGUGAGUAACGCGUGGUCAACCUACCGUUGAGUGGGGGAUAACUAGCCGAAAGGUUAGCUAAUACCGCAUACGUCUCCGAGGGGCAUCCCUUGGCGAUAAAAGGAGCAAUCCGCUCGAUGACGGGACCGCGUCCCAUUAGCUAGAUGGUGGGGUAACGGCCUACCAUGGCACCGAUGGGUAGCUGGUUUGAGAGAGCGACCAGCCACACUGGGACUGAGAAACGGCCCAGACUCCUACGGGAGGCAGCAGUGAGGAAUUUUCCGCAAUGGGCGCAAGCCUGACGGAGCGACGCCGCGUGUGGGAGAAGGCCUUCGGGUCGUAAACCACUGUCGAAGGGGACGAUAAUGACGGUACCCUUGGAGGAAGCCCCGGCUAACUACGUGCCAGCAGCCGC